rnacentral:rRNA from 1 species
UGAACGCUGGCGGCAGGCUUAACACAUGCAAGUCGAGCGGAAACGAAGGUAGCUUGCUACCAGACGUCGAGCGGCGGACGGGUGAGUAAUGCUUAGGAAUCUACCGAGUAGUGGGGGAUAGCCAUUGGAAACGAUGAUUAAUACCGCAUAUAUCCUACGGGGGAAAGCAGGGGACCUUCGGGCCUUGCGCUAUUCGAUGAGCCUGAGUGAGAUUAGCUAGUUGGUGGGGUAAAGGCCUACCAAGGCGACGAUCUCUAGCUGGUCUGAGAGGAUGAUCAGCCACACUGGGACUGAGACACGGCCCAGACUCCUACGGGAGGCAGCAGUGGGGAAUAUUGCACAAUGGACGAAAGUCUGAUGCAGCCAUGCCGCGUGUGUGAAGAAGGCCUUCGGGUUGUAAAGCACUUUCAGCGAGGAGGAAAGGUCAGUAAGUAAUAUUUGCUGGCUGUGACGUUACUCGCAGAAGAAGCACCGGCUAAUUUAGUGCCAGCAGCCGCGGUAAUACUAAAGGUGCAAGCGUUAAUCGGAAUUACUGGGCGUAAAGCGCGCGUAGGUGGUUUGUUAAGUUGGAUGUGAAAGCCCAGGGCUCAACCUUGGAACUGCAUUCAAAACUGACUCACUAGAGUACGAGAGAGGUUAGUGGAAUUUCCUGUGUAGCGGUGAAAUGCGUAGAGAUGGGAAGGAACACCAGUGGCGAAGCGACUGACUGGCUCGAUACUGACACUGA